CCUACGGGAGGCAGCAGUAGGGAAUAUUGCUCAAUGGGGGAAACCCUGAAGCAGCAACGCCGCGUGGAGGAUGAAGGUUUUCGGUUUGUAAACCCCUUUCGUUAGAGAAGAUAAUGACGGUAUCUCACGAAUAAGCACCGGCUAACUCCGUGCCAGCAGCCGCGGUAAUACGGAGGGUGCAAGCGUUACUCGGAAUCACUGGGCGUAAAGAGCGCGUAGGCGGGAUAGCAAGUCAGAUGUGAAAUCCUAUGGCUUAACCAUAGAACUGCAUUUGAAACUGUUAUUCUAGAGUAUGGGAGAGGUAGGUGGAAUUCUUGGUGUAGGGGUAAAAUCCGUAGAGAUCAAGAGGAAUACUCAUUGCGAAGGCGACCUGCUAGAACAUAACUGACGCUGAUGCGCGAAAGCGUGGGGAGCAAACAGGAUUAGAUACCCCUGUAGUC
rnacentral:rRNA from 1 species